GACGAACGCUGGCGGCGUGCUUAACACAUGCAAGUCGAACGGUGAAGCCCUUCGGGGUGGAUCAGUGGCGAACGGGUGAGUAACACGUGGGCAAUCUGCCCUGCACUCUGGGACAAGCCUUGGAAACGAGGUCUAAUACCGGAUAUUACCCCUGGGGGCAUCCCUGGGGGUGGAAAGCUCCGGCGGUGCAGGAUGAGCCCGCGGCCUAUCAGCUUGUUGGUGGGGUGAUGGCCUACCAAGGCGACGACGGGUAGCCGGCCUGAGAGGGCGACCGGCCACACUGGGACUGAGACACGGCCCAGACUCCUACGGGAGGCAGCAGUGGGGAAUAUUGCACAAUGGGCGAAAGCCUGAUGCAGCGACGCCGCGUGAGGGAUGAAGGCCUUCGGGUUGUAAACCUCUUUCAGCAGGGAAGAAGCG
rnacentral:rRNA from 1 species